UACCACUGUCCUGAAGGUGGGACUGUUAUGCCCCUCACCCUUUUAGAGAAAGGGGUUAGCCUUCCCCUCCAUGCUUUCAUCAUUACCCUACUAGGGUUCAUGGGUGUUGGACUAGCCCAAUUAGUCCCUAAUUCCUAUAUCCACAUCCUUGCCUUCAUCGCUUUCUGCCACGAGAUAGGGAUUCACCCUCUAUCAAUUUCUUUUUAACUCUCUUCACUACCGGUAACUCUCUCGAAAGGAGUUUCAAGAUGCUGAGCAAGAAAUCCCCAAAACCCAAUGUCAGGUUCGAUAAACGCCCCCUGAUGGAAACUCCUUCAAGCAAUAAAGGAAGGCACAAGGAUUGGUUCUUUGUCACAGGACCUGAAAUUUCUUCGGUCCCUAACUGGACUACUGUUAAACGCCUCUCUGUCGACUUCGAUGACAUCUCAGAUGAACGCGUGAUCGAGAUGACGAAGCUUAUGGAGAAACUUCCUAUGAAGGAAUGGAGCUUCAGACUUCUAAGAAAGCAAGCAUGGUUAUAUGACCACAAACGUAAGUCCCAAACUCAAUACUUCUGGAAUUUCUCAAAUUUUCUUUAGUAAUUAUUCUGAAACAUCAUUCUUCAUCUUUUAUAGUAUCUCUCAUUAAACCUACUUCCAUUGACCAAAAAGAAUUAGAAUUAUUCCUUUCUGCUAACCCAACUCAAUCUCUUGUCGAACCCCAAAAUACUGAACCUCAAUCUUUCGAACCCCAAACUUCCGAACCAAACCUUACUGAAGAGACAAGCCAACCCCAACGAAAGAAAAGAGCUGUUAGAAAACCCAAACAUGUUCCUGUCCCCACACUAAACGAAUGUCUUCUUGGCAUACCCAUCUCUGAACGUGCCCAAAUCGUUCAAACUAAAAAGAAACGAGCCAAACUCACACCUCUUACUGCCGAAGAACUCAGAGUACCUCAUACCGAAGCCAACCUACCACCUGUCAUUCCUAUAGAAAUCAAUGAACCUAUAGAAGAACCUGAAGAACACGCCGAUCCCAAUUCUCC
rnacentral:lncRNA from 1 species